ensembl:lncRNA
AUAAAGUGUACUGCCCUCUUGUGGCCUUUAGUGGGAUUUUGCCAUUUGUUUUGACAGGCAGACUUGAGUGACCUCUAGUGGCCGAAUAAGCCUACGCAUCCAAUGUGAUUUCGCAUAUUCCACGUUUUUUUUGCCUAUGUGUGAACCAUAGCCUAUGUGUGAACCAUAGAUUGUAUAAAAACAGGUGUGAACAUGCAAGACUGAGUAGGGGGAGGCUGCAGACCUGGAGCAGGCAGAUCUAGGGCCCAGACAGUUUUACGCCCCUGUUGUUCCUCAUGCGUCCAGUAGGGGGAGGCUGUACAGUAUGAGCUAUUCAGAACAGACAAAGUCAAGAAGCGACAUGAAAUAAGAGAUUGGAAAUGCCUGCAUGAAACUCGUCUAUGAAGAGGGCAAAGACAUAUACCCUGCCAACAUGCAUGUUAUUGCCAGAAUCCUCUAGCCUACUCUCCAGAAUGUGAUAAUGCUUUCAUCAAAGUCCCAUUAAGGGUAUUCUAUAGUCUUUGCUUUCAUGAAGGAUGCAUGAACACAAGCCACCGGCCCAGAUCAUUAUCUGUUAUGUGUACAGAAGCCACUCUUAAGAGAGAUCCUCCUUCUAGUCUUCCUUUAGAAUAAUCAAAGCCUGGUUUUGGAGAUGACAAACACAGAGACAUCUUUAGGUCCACAGCUAAGAGAUUCUUGAUAACCUACAUUUAAACAAUUUAAAUUAAAUAAUUUUUUUAAUGAUGAUUCUGCCUGUUUAUUAUCAGUUAAGAGUUGUCG